UUACCGAGUGAGGGCCCUCUGGGUCCAACCUCCCACCCGUGUUUAUCGUACCUUGUUGCUUCGGCGGGCCCGCCUCACGGCCGCCGGGGGGCAUCCGCCCCCGGGCCCGCGCCCGCCGAAGACACACAAACGAACUCUUGUCUGAAGAUUGCAGUCUGAGUACUUGACUAAAUCAGUUAAAACUUUCAACAACGGAUCUCUUGGUUCCGGCAUCGAUGAAGAACGCAGCGAAAUGCGAUAAGUAAUGUGAAUUGCAGAAUUCAGUGAAUCAUCGAGUCUUUGAACGCACAUUGCGCCCCCUGGUAUUCCGGGGGGCAUGCCUGUCCGAGCGUCAUUGCUGCCCUCAAGCACGGCUUGUGUGUUGGGCUCUCGCCCCCCGCUUCCGGGGGGCGGGCCCGAAAGGCAGCGGCGGCACCGCGUCCGGUCCUCGAGCGUAUGGGGCUUCGUCACCCGCUCUGUAGGCCCGGCCGGCGCCCGCCGGCGAACACCAUCAAUCUUAACCAGGUUGACCUCGGAUCAGGUAGGGAUACCCGCUGAACUUAAGCAUAUC
rnacentral:rRNA from 1 species